UUUAAAGUCGGACCUGCCCAAUGAAGAGUUAAAUGGCCGCGGUAUUUUGACCGUGCAAAGGUAGCAUAAUCAUUAGUUUUUUAAUUGAAAACUGGUAUGAAUGGUUUGACGAGAAAAUAACUGUCUCAAUUUAAUUUUUAAAAGAAUUUUAUUUUUAAGUAAGAAAGCUUAGAUUUAUUUAAAAGACGAGAAGACCCUAUAGAGUUUUAUAUUUGUUAAUAUAUUUAUAGUUUAGUAUAUUGUGAGUUUUUAUAUUAAUAAGUAUUUUGUUGGGGGGACAGAAAAAUUUAAUUAACUUUUUUUUUUUGUUAACAUUAAUUUAUGAAUGAUUGAUCCAUUUUUAAUGAUUAAAAGAUUAAAUUACCUUAGGGAUAACAGCGUAAUUUUUCUUAAGAGUUCUAAUCGAAAGAAAAGUUUGCGACCUCGAUGUUGGAUUAAAAUUUACUUUUGGUGAAGAAGCUAAAAUGUUAGGUCUGUUCGACCUUUAAAAUUUUACAUGAUCUGAGUUUAAACCGGUGUAAGCCAGGUUGGUUUCUAUCUUUAAAAAUAUUUUUUAUCUUAGUACGAAAGGACCAGAUAAAGGUAAUAGUUAUUUUAUUUUGAUUAUUAUUAU
rnacentral:rRNA from 1 species